UGUUAACUAUGAAAUACAUACUGGCAACUGGAUGUUUUGACAAAACAGACCUGGUUGUGUCAUGGCAAGACGUGGAGCGGAGAAGGAGUCACAGGAGCCCUUCCUGCUUCAGAGGCUUAUCAAGAAGUUUCUGAAUCCACAGCAUUCCUUCAGUGUUACUAAAUGCUAUCAACACUGGGAUCAGAGUAAGGAAGAUCAUCAGAGGCAUAAGAAGGGGAUGUAAGCAAUUUUUUUUUCUUCAAGUUCCAGAGUACAUGUGCAGGAUGUACAGGUUUGUUACAAAGGUAAAUAUGUGCCAUGGUAGUCUGCUACACAGAUUAUCCCAUCACCAAGGUAUCAAGCCUAGUGCUCGUUAGCUAUUCUUCCUGACGCUUUCCCUGGCAAUUUUUGUAAUACUUAUGGUAUUAAAUAAGUUAAUGAUCUCAAAUAAACAAUAUUGGGAAUCUUAUCAGUUACAGAUUUAAAAAAAUUUCCAAAUGAAGUUUUGUACUCUGUACAGCUGUCCAGUAAGCGUCUUCCCAUGUUUAAAAUU